GAUCGGCCCGCGUCUGAUUGGCUAGUUGGUGAGGUAACGGCUCACCAAGGCGACGAUCGGUAGCUGGUCUGAGAGGAUGAUCAGCCACACUGGGACUGAGACACGGCCCAGACUCCUACGGGAGGCAGCAGUGGGGAAUAUUGGACAAUGGGGGCAACCCUGAUCCAGCAAUGCCGCGUGAGUGAUGAAGGCCUUAGGGUUGUAAAGCUCUUUUACCCGCGACGAUGAUGACGGUAGCGGGAGAAUAAGCCCCGGCUAACUUCGUGCCAGCAGCCGCGGUAAUACGAAGGGGGCUAGCGUUGUUCGGAGUUACUGGGCGUAAAGGGCGCGUAGGCGGCGCACCAAGUCAGGCGUGAAAGCCCUGGGCUCAACCCGGGAAUUGCGCUUGAGACUGGUGUGCUUGAGUACGGGAGAGGAUAGUGGAAUUCCCCAGUGUAGAGGUGAAAUUCGUAGAUUUUGGGAAGAACACCGGUGGCGAAAGCGGCUAUCUGGACCGUAACUGACGCUGAAGCGCGAAAGCGUGGGGAGGCAACAGGAUUAGAUACCCUGGUAGUCCCACCCCUAAACGAUGAAUGCUAGACGUUGGGGGCUCUUAGAGCUUCUGGUGUCGCCGCC
rnacentral:rRNA from 1 species